rnacentral:rRNA from 1 species
GUCAAGUUAUUAAGGGUGCAGGGCGGAUGCCUUGGCACUAGGAGCCGAUGAAGGACGUGAUAAGCUGCGAUAAGCUUCGGGGAGUUGCACGUAAACUUUGAUCCGAAGAUUUCCGAAUGAGGAAACUCACUUAGAGUAAUGUCUAAGUAUCAUUAAGUGAAUACAUAGCUUAAUGAGGGGAACUCAGGGAACUGAAACAUCUAAGUACCUGAAGGAAGAGAAAGAAAUUCGAUUCCGUAAGUAGCGGCGAGCGAACGCGGAUUAGCCCAAACCAAUAAAGUUUUCUUUAUUGGGGUUGCGGACAUAUCAUAACGAAGAGGUAUCGUAAUUGAAGAGGUUUGGAAAGACCCACCACAGAAGGUAAUAGUCCUGUAUGUUAAACGAGAAGACUUCAGAUAUGAUCCAGAGUACCACGGGACACGUGAAACCCUGUGGGAAGCAGGAGGGACCACCCUCCAAGGCUAAAUACUACCUAGUGACCGAUAGCGUAUAGUACCGUGAGGGAAAGGUGAAAAGAACCCCGGGAGGGGAGUGAAAUAGAACCUGAAACCCUGCACUUACAAGCUGUGGAAGCACAUUUCUUGUGUGACCGCGUACUUUUUGUAGAACGGGCCAACGAGUUACGUUAAGUAGCAAGGUUAAGCACUUAAGGUGCGGAGCCGUAGCGAAAGCGAGUUUUAACUGAGCGUUCAGUUACUUGACGUAGACCCGAAACCGGGCGACCUACCCAUGAGCAGGAUGAAGCGAAAGUAAAAUUUCGUGGAGGUCCGAACCCACGAGCGUUGAAAAGCUCGGGGAUGACUUGUGGGUAGCGGUGAAAUUCCAAUCGAGCCCGGAGAUAGCUGGUUCUCCCCGAAAUAGCUUUAGGGCUAGCCUCAAGGUGAGAGAUACGGAGGUAGAGCACUGAAUGUCCUAGGGGGUAUUGCACCUACCGAAGACUAUCAAACUCCGAAUGCCGUCAUCUUAUACUUGGGAGUCAGACUGUGGGUGAUAAGAUUCAUAGUCGAAAGGGCAACAGCCCAGAUCGUCAGCUAAGGUCCCUAAAUGUAAGUUAAGUGGUAAAGGAUGUGGGAUUGCACAGACAACCAGGAUGUUGGCUUAGAAGCAGCCACUCAUUCAAAGAGUGCGUAAUAGCUCACUGGUCGAGUGAUCCUGCGCCGAAGAUUUCCGGGGCUAAAACUUACUACCGAAGCUACGGCAUCAGUAAUGAUGGGUAGGGGAGCUUCCCAUACGGGUUGAAGCAUGACCGUAAGGACAUGUGGACAGUAUGGGAGUGAGAAUGUUGGCAUGAGUAGCGAGAUGUGGGUGAGAAUCCCACAGGCCGUAAACCCAAGGUUUCCAGGGGAAGGUUCGUCCGCCCUGGGUUAGUCGGGACCUAAGCUGAGGCCGAAAGGCGUAGGUGAUGGACAACAGGUUGAUAUUCCUGUACUACCGAUAACCGUUUGAGAGAAGGGAUGACACAGUAGGAUAAGCUAAGCACACUGUUGGUUAUGUGUGCCCAAGCAUUGAGGCAGUCAAAGUAGGCAAAUCCGCUUUGAUAAUGCUGGGAUGUGAUGGGGAGCGAAAUUUAGUAGCGAAGUAGCUGAUUUCACACUGUCAAGAAAAGUCUCUAUCGAGGUUAAAGGUACCCGUACCGCAAACCGACACAGGUGGGUGAGGAGAGUAUCCUAAGGCCAGCGAGAGAACUGUUGUUAAGGAACUCGGCAAAAUGACCCCGUAACUUAGGGAUAAGGGGUGCCACCAUCAGGUGGCCGCAGAGAAUAGGCCCAAGCGACUGUUUACCAAAAACAUAGGUUUCUGCUAAGUCGCAAGACGAUGUAUAGGAGCUGACGCCUGCCCGGUGCUGGAAGGUUAAGGGGAUCUGUUAGAGCAAUCGAAGCAGUGAACUUAAGCCCCAGUAAACGGCGGCCGUAACUAUAACGGUCCUAAGGUAGCGAAAUUCCUUGUCGGGUAAGUUCCGACCCGCACGAAAGGCGUAACGAUUUGGGCACUGUCUCAACAACAGACUCGGUGAAAUUGUAAUUCCGGUGAAGAUGCCGGAUACCUGCGACAGGACGGAAAGACCCCAUGGAGCUUUACUGUAGCUUGACAUUGGGUCUUGGUACUACAUGUACAGGAUAGGUGGGAGGCUUUGAAACCAGGACGCCAGUUUUGGCGGAGCCAUCCUUGGGAUACCACCCUUGUAGUACUGGGACUCUAACCAUAGGCCAUGAAUCUGGUCUUGGGACACUGUCAGGUGGGCAGUUUGACUGGGGCGGUCGCCUCCCAAAAGGUAACGGAGGCGCUCAAAGGUUCUCUCAGUACGGUCGGAAAUCGUACGUAGAGUGUAAAGGCAAAAGAGAGCUUGAUUGCAAGACAUACAGGUCGAGCAAGGAUGAAAAUCGGACUUAGUGAUCCGGUGGUUCUGCGUGGAAGGGCCAUCGCUCAACGGAUAAAAGCUACCCUGGGGAUAACAGGCUUAUCUCCCCCAAGAGUCCACAUCGACGGGGAGGUUUGGCACCUCGAUGUCGGCUCAUCACAUCCUGGGGCUGUAGUAGGUCCCAAGGGUUGGGCUGUUCGCCCAUUAAAGUGGUACGCGAGCUGGGUUCAGAACGUCGUGAGACAGUUCGGUCCCUAUCCGUCGCAGGCGUAGGAAAUUUGAGAAGACCUGUCCUUAGUACGAGAGGACCGGGAUGGACGUAUCUCUGGUGUACCAGUUGUCCUGCCAAGGGCAUGGCUGGGUAGCUAUGUACGGAAUGGAUAAGCGCUGAAAGCAUCUAAGCGCGAAGCCAACUUCAAGAUAAGAUUUCCCACCGCAAGGGUAAGACCCCAGAAAGACUAUCUGGUUGAUAGGUCGAAGGUGUAAGUGCAGCAAUGUAUUUAGCUUAUCGAUACUAAUAGGUCGAGGACUUGAC